rnacentral:rRNA from 1 species
UACGUGAGGGGCUAGCGUUGUCCGGAAUCAUUGGGCGUAAAGAGCGCGUAGGCGGCCAGAUAAGUCCGGUGGUGAAAGUCACAGGCUCAACCUGUGAAUGCCGACUGGAAACUGUCUGGGCUAGAGUCCGGAAGGGGCGAGUGGAAUUCCUGGUGUAGCGGUGAAAUGCGUAGAUAGUCGUAAGGAAGACCAGUGGCGAAGGCGGAUCUCUGGACAGUUACUGACACUGAGGCACGAAGGC